AGAGUUUGAUCCUGGCUCAGGAUGAACGCUGGCGGCGUGCUUAACACAUGCAAGUCGAACGAAGCACUUUAUUUGAUUUCCUUCGGGACUGAUUAUUUUGUGACUGAGUGGCGGACGGGUGAGUAACGCGUGGGUAACCUGCCUUGUACAGGGGGAUAACAGUUGGAAACGGCUGCUAAUACCGCAUAAGCGCACGGCACCGCAUGAUGCAGUGUGAAAAACUCCGGUGGUAUAAGAUGGACCCGCGUUGGAUUAGCUAGUUGGUGAGGUAACGGCCCACCAAGGCGACGAUCCAUAGCCGACCUGAGAGGGUGACCGGCCACAUUGGGACUGAGACACGGCCCAAACUCCUACGGGAGGCAGCAGUGGGGAAUAUUGCACAAUGGGCGAAAGCCUGAUGCAGCGACGCCGCGUGAGCGAAGAAGUAUUUCGGUAUGUAAAGCUCUAUCAGCAGGGAAGAUAAUGACGGUACCUGACUAAGAAGCACCGGCUAAAUACGUGCCAGCAGCCGCGGUAAUACGUAUGGUGCAAGCGUUAUCCGGAUUUACUGGGUGUAAAGGGAGCGCAGGCGGUGCGGCAAGUCUGAUGUGAAAGCCCGGGGCUCAACCCCGGUACUGCAUUGGAAACUGUCGUACUAGAGUGUCGGAGGGGUAAGCGGAAUUCCUAGUGUAGCGGUGAAAUGCGUAGAUAUUAGGAGGAACACCAGUGGCGAAGGCGGCCUACUGGACGAUAACUGACGCUGAGGCUCGAAAGCGUGGGGAGCAAACAGGAUUAGAUACCCUGGUAGUCCACGCCGUAAACGAUG
rnacentral:rRNA from 1 species